AUGGGUUACGUGCGCACCAAGGAUGAUAACAACUGGUGGUUGACAACGGUGUAUGCGCCGCAAGGGGACGAGCUCAAGACUCAAUUCCUAUUGGAGUUGGCUGCAAGGAGAGAGAGCUGCCCCGACCCUUGGUUGCUUAUCGGAGACUUCAACAUGAUUCUUAGGGCGAGCGAAAUGAACAACAAUAACAUCAACCGCAGCAUGAUGAACAAGUUUCGUAACUUUGUGGAUGCGCAUGAACUAAAGGAAGUAUACAUGCAAGGGCGGCUAUAUACUUGGUCUAACGAGCAGGAUGCCCCCACGCUCACGAAAAAUGACAGGGCCUUGGCGUCCAUUGACUGGGAGUUGACCUAUCCUGACCAUCUUCUGCAAGCUUUGUCGACAAGCAUCUCGGAUCACGCGCCAUUGCACAUUUCGAUGAGCAAUCAUUUUUACAUGAAAAAGCAAUUCCGCUUCAAGAUCUAUUGGACGAAACUGGCUGGGUUCGAGGAGGCGUUGCGUGAGGCUUGGGUGUGCGAUGAUUCCAUUGUGGACCCUUUCAAGGGGCUGGACGCUCUUUUCAGGAACACAUCGAUCUAUUUGCAAUCUUGGGGACAACGCAAGACGGGCAAUAUCAAGGUGCUUAUUGAUACGUCUCCAACGUAUCUACUUUUCCAAACACUUUUGCCCUUGUUUUGGACUCUAACUUGCAUGAUUUGA
rnacentral:rRNA from 1 species